GUGCUCGCUUCAGCAGCACAUAUACUAAAACUGGAACGCUACAGAGAAGAUUAGCAUGGCCCCUGUGCAAGGAUGACACGCAAAUUCGUGAAGCAUUCCAUAUAAAA
ensembl:snRNA U6 U6 spliceosomal RNA